AUUGAACGCUGGCGGCAGGCCUAACACACGCAAGUCGAACGGUAACAGGAAGAAGCUUGCUUCUUUGCUGACGAGUGGCGGACGGGUGAGUAAUGUCUGGGAAACUGCCUGGUGGAGGGGGAUAACUACUGGAAACGGUAGCUAAUACCGCAUAACGUCGCAAGACCAAAGAGGGGGACCUUCGGGCCUCUUGCCAUCGGAUGUGCCCAGAUGGGAUUAGCUAGUAGGUGGGGUAACGGCUCACCUAGGCGACGAUCCCUAGCUGGUCUGAGAGGAUGACCAGCCACACUGGAACUGAGACACGGUCCAGACUCCUACGGGAGGCAGCAGUGGGGAAUAUUGGACAAUGGGCGCAAGCCUGAUGCAGCCAUGCCGCGUGUAUGAAGAAGGCCUUCGGGUUGUAAAGUACUUUCGGCGGGGAGGAAGGGAGUAAAGUUAAUACCUUUGCUCAUUGACGUUACCCGAAGAAGAAGCACCGGCUAACUCCGUG
rnacentral:rRNA from 1 species